rnacentral:rRNA from 1 species
CCUACGGGUGGCUGCAGUGGGGAAUAUUGCACAAUGGGCGCAAGCCUGAUGCAGCCAUGCCGCGUGUGUGAAGAAGGCCUUCGGGUUGUAAAGCACUUUCAGCGGGGAGGAAGGCGUUAAGGUUAAUAACCUUGGCGAUUGACGUUACCCGCAGAAGAAGCACCGGCUAACUCCGUGCCAGCAGCCGCGGUAAUACGGAGGGUGCAAGCGUUAAUCGGAAUUACUGGGCGUAAAGCGCACGCAGGCGGUCUGUCAAGUCGGAUGUGAAAUCCCCGGGCUCAACCUGGGAACUGCAUUCGAAACUGGGAGGCUAGAGUCUUGUAGAGGGGGGUAGAAUUCCAGGUGUAGCGGUGAAAUGCGUAGAGAUCUGGAGGAAUACCGGUGGCGAAGGCGGCCCCCUGGACAAAGACUGACGCUCAGGUGCGAAAGCGUGGGGAGCAAACAGGAUUAGAUACCCGGGUAGUC